AAAAUAAGCUGGCUUAUCGCUUUGGGCGUAUAUAAACUGACCAAAGAGGAAAGUCCGGGCAAUAUAGAGCACCCUACUUCCUAACAGGAAGGCGUAGGGAGUAAGUUCCGUGCGACAGCAAGUGCUACAGAAAAUAAACCGCUUUCUAGUUGAAAGUAAGGGUGAAAAGGCGAGGUAAGAGCUCACCGCUUUAUUGGUGACAAUAAAGGCAAAGUAAACCUUAGGGAUUGCAAGGCCAAGUAGGCAUGUCUAGCCUUUAAGUAGGCUGACAGGUUACUCGUCUGUUUCUGUACAGAAGGCAUGCGGGUAGGCUGCUAGAGACCAAAAGUGAUUUUGGUUCGAGAUAAAUGAUAAGCGUUGCACCUCUGGUGCAGUACAGAACCCGGCUUAUAGGCUUAUUUUUCUU
rnacentral:RNase_P_RNA from 1 species